GGGCCCGCACAAGCGGUGGAACAUGUGGUUUAAUUCGACGCAACGCGAAGAACCUUACCUGGGUUUGACAUCCCCGGCCGACACCAGAGAUGGUGUUUUCUCUUCGGAGACCGGGUGACAGGUGCUGCAUGGCUGUCGUCAGCUCGUGUCGUGAGAUGUUGGGUUAAGUCCCGCAACGAGCGCAACCCUUGCCCUCAGUUGCCAGCAGUUCGGCUGGGCACUCUGGGGGGACUGCCGGUGACAAGCCGGAGGAAGGUGGGGAUGACGUCAAGUCCUCAUGGCCCUUAUGGGCUGGGCUACACACGUGCUACAAUGGCAGUGACAGAGGGACGCUAGCCAGGUGACUGGAUGCAAA
rnacentral:rRNA from 1 species